rnacentral:rRNA from 1 species
CACGUAGGGCGCAAGCGUUGUCCGGAAUUAUUGGGCGUAAAGAGCUCGUAGGCGGUCUGUUGCGUCCGCUGUGAAAACCCGGGGCUUAACCCUGGGCUGGCAGUGGAUACGGACAGACUAGAGGUAGGUAGGGGAGAAUGGAAUUCCCGGUGUAGCGGUGAAAUGCGCAGAUAUCGGGAGGAACACCGGUGGCGAAGGCGCUUCCUGGCCGAGUACUGACGCUGAGGCACGAAAGCGUGGGGAGCGAACGGG